rnacentral:ncRNA from 1 species
AAAUCAGCAAUGAAAAGAUGAGUAGUUUUGACGCUGUUUCAAGAGAAUCCUCAACUGGUGAAAGAGGAUAACAGCGCUCUACGAAAAUGGUCUUCGAGCGGAAUGUUAUCAAGCAGAUUGUGAAAUAACAUUGGCAGGUGCCCAUUACCGCACCUUAGUGACUAAAUGAUGUCACUAUUAAAGUUAUUUAGUGUGAGCUAAAUAAAAAGUAAGGUGGUACCGCGAAGAACAAUCGUCCUUGGA